rnacentral:rRNA from 1 species
UUCCGGUUGAUCCCGCCGGACCUGACUGCUAUCGGAUUGAUACUAAGCCAUGCGAGUCAUUGUAGCAAUACAAGGCAGACGGCUCAGUAACGCGUAGUCAACCUAACCUAUGGACGGGAAUAACCUCGGGAAACUGAGAAUAAUGCCCGAUAGAACACUAUGCCUGGAAUGGUUUGUGUUCCAAAUGAUUUAUCGCCGUAGGAUGGGACUGCGGCCUAUCAGUUUGUUGGUGAGGUAAUGGCCCACCAAGACUAUUACAGGUACGGGCUCUGAGAGGAGUAGCCCGGAGAUGGGUACUGAGACACGGACCCAGGCCCUAUGGGGCGCAGCAGGCGAGAAAACUUUGCAAUGUGCGAAAGCACGACAAGGUUAAUCCGAGUGGUUUGUGCUAAACAGACCUUUUGUUAGUCCUAGAAACACUAACGAAUAAGGGGUGGGCAAGUUCUGGUGUCAGCCGCCGCGGUAAAACCAGCGCCUCAAGUGGUCAGGAUGAUUAUUGGGCCUAAAGCAUCCGUAGCCGGCUCUGUAAGUUUUCGGUUAAAUCUGUACGCUUAACGUACAGGCUGCCGGGAAUACUGCAGAGCUAGGGAGUGGGAGAGGUAGACGGUACUCGGUAGGAAGGGGUAAAAUCCUUUGAUCUAUUGAUGACCACCUGUGGCGAAGGCGGUCUACCAGAACACGUCCGACGGUGAGGGAUGAAAGCUGGGGGAGCAAACCGGAUUAUAUACCCGGGGUAGUCCCAGCUGUAAACUAUGCAAACUCAGUGAUGCAUUGACUUGUGGUCAAUGCAGUGCUGCAGGGAA